rnacentral:rRNA from 1 species
UUGCUGAAGUGUAUGUUAGUAGCGAACGGGUGAGUAAUGCAUGAGAAGCUGCCAUUGGGAGGGGGACAACAGUUGGAAACGGCUGCUAAUACCCCGUAUGCCGGAAGGUAAAAGGGAGCGAUCCGCCCGAUGAGGUGCUCAUGUCCUAUCAGCUGGUUGGUGGGGUAACGGCCUACCAAGGCGACGACGGGUAGCCGGCCUGAGAGGGUGAACGGCCACACUGGAACUGAGAUACGGUCCAGACUCCUACGGGAGGCAGCAGUGGGGAAUAUUGGGCAAUGGGGGCAACCCUGACCCAGCGACGCCGCGUGAGGGAAGACGGCCUUCGGGUUGUAAACCUCUUUUGUACGGGAAGAAGGAAGUGACGGUACUGUACGAAUAAGUCCCGGCUAACUACGUGCCAGCAGCCGCGGUAAUACGUAGGGGACGAGCGUUGUCCGGAAUUACUGGGCGUAAAGGGCGCGCAGGCUGUGCUGCAAGUCAGCUGUGAAAUGUCUGGGCUUAACCCGGGCAUGCGGUUGAGACUGCAGUGCUGGAGUGCUGUAAAGGCAAGUGGAAUCCCAGUGUAGCGGUGAAAUGCGUAGAUAUUGGGAAAACCCCGGUGGCGAAGCGACUUGCUGGGCAGCACUGACGCUGAGCGCGAAGCCAGGGGACAACGGGAUU